ensembl:lncRNA
CUCUCUCUCCCCCUCUCUAUCUUUCUCCCCCCUCUCUCUCUCUCUCCCUUUACCCCUCUCUCCCUCUCGCUCUCUCUCUCCCUCUCUCCUCCCCCCCCUCAAACACAUACACACACAGGCCAUCACAUAAGACACACACACACAGGCCAUCACAUAAGACACACACACACACACACACACAGGCCAUCACAUAAGACACACCCACAUACAGGCCAUCACAUAAGACACACACACACACACAUACAGGCCAUCACAUAGGACACACACACACACAGGCCAUCACAUAAGACACACACACACAGGCCAUCACAUAGGACACACACACGCACAUACACACACUCUCGCAUAUUACACACACAGUGAGAGAGUGAGAGAGACAGAGAUAGAGGGAGAGAGAAGGGGGAGAGAGCAUCACCUAUUAUAAACACACACACACACACAGGCCAUCACUUACGUAAGACACACACACACACACACACACACACACACACACACAG